UACGUAGGGUGCGAGCGUUAAUCGGAAUUACUGGGCGUAAAGCGUGCGCAGGCGGCUUUGCAAGACAGAUGUGAAAUCCCCGGGCUCAACCUGGGAACUGCCUUUGUGACUGCAUAGCUAGAGUACGGCAGAGGGGGAUGGAAUUCCGCGUGUAGCAGUGAAAUGCGUAGAUAUGCGGAGGAACACCGAUGGCGAAGGCAAUCCCCUGGGCCUGCACUGACGCUCAUGCACGAAAGCGUGGGGAGCAAACAGG
rnacentral:rRNA from 1 species